rnacentral:rRNA from 1 species
GACGAACGCUGGCGGCGUGCUUAACACAUGCAAGUCGAACGGAUAGGCCCUGCUUUUGUGGGGUGCUCGAGUGGCGAACGGGUGAGUAACACGUGAGUGACCUGCCCUUGACUUUGGGAUAACUUCAGGAAACUGGGGCUAAUACCGGAUAGGAGCUCCUGCUGCAUGGUGGGGGUUGGAAAGUUUCGGCGGUUGGGGAUGGACUCGCGGCUUAUCAGCUUGUUGGUGGGGUAGUGGCUUACCAAGGCUUUGACGGGUAGCCGGCCUGAGAGGGUGACCGGCCACAUUGGGACUGAGAUACGGCCCAGACUCCUACGGGAGGCAGCAGUGGGGAAUAUUGCACAAUGGGCGGAAGCCUGAUGCAGCAACGCCGCGUGCGGGAUGACGGCCUUCGGGUUGUAAACCGCUUUCGCCUGUGACGAAGCGUGAGUGACGGUAAUGGGUAAAGAAGCACCGGCUAACUACGUG